CCAGAAGCCGUUGUAGAGUCCUCU
rnacentral:piRNA from 1 species